rnacentral:piRNA from 1 species
UAUUCUGUAGGCUGCACAUUAUUUUG